CGGCACAAACCGACACAGCUUUGCGAUCUCGCCAGCAUGCAGAGUCUGAUGUCUUCCCUAUAGAUGAUUCCAGAGACUCUGUGAAGCCACUAUUACAAGGUGAGACGCUUUGCGUUGAUUGGUGCUGCUGGACCACACUGGAGGUGCGAGUCCGCCGUGUAAUGGUUUAUGCCAUUACAAAGGAGCUGGCCUCUGUACUCAACUGGGCAGGGAAAAAAAAACAAGGACCAGACAAAGCAAAAAAGGGCAUUUAAAGAGACAGCGCUGUGCAGAUGCAUAUUUGAUGGCCUGGCGCAGCAGGUAGGGGCGAACUCUAUGUCUGAGUUGGUCUUUGCUCAAGCAGUCCAGAAAUGGCUCAGAUAUGCUCCAGGUCGUACGGGUGGCACGCAGGACGCACAUCAUCCAUCCCCAUCCCGGAGUAAAUAAUAAAAAGUGACGUGAAACAUAGAAAUGUAAAUAGGAAACUUUGUCUUUUAAUAAAGUAUUUUGCAAAUGAUACAUGUCUAUUGACCUUUUUUGGUUUUUUGGUUUUUUUCAAUAAAAAGCAACUGUGCGAAAGAGGUGGAAAAUCAAUACCAUAUCUCAACAGUGUUUCAAUGUCAACAGUGUUAGAAAAUAUAACGUCGAAUCAAUGUCAGGUUUCAACAUUGAUUCAACAUCAAAACCUGACGUUGUUUCAACGUUAAAAAUGGGUGCAAGAGUGACGUUGGGUCAACGUCACACUUCAACGUUGCUUCAAUGACGUCGCCUGAUAUUGACUCAACAUUGUUUCAAUGUUUCCUUGCUA